rnacentral:rRNA from 1 species
UUACGACUACAUAUCAGGCAUAUCAAUAAGCGGAGGAAAAGAAACUAACAAGGAUUCCCUUAGUAACGGCGAGUGAAGCGGGAAGAGCUCAAAUUUGAAAUCUUCAAGGUUUUACCUUGACGAAUUGUAGUUUAAAGAAGUGUUUUCUGUUGAAGUUUCGGUAAAAGUUCUUUGGAAUAGGACAUCAUAGAGGGUGAGAAUCCCGUAUUUGACCAGUUAUUUUCCAGCUGUGUGAUACACUUUCAAAGAGUCGGAUUGUUUGGGAAUGCAGUCCAAAAUGGGUGGUAAAUUUCAUCUAAAGCUAAAUAUUGGCGAGAGACCGAUAGCGAACAAGUACCGUGAGGGAAAGACUGAAAAGAACUUUGAAAAGAGAGUUAAACAGUACGUGAAAUUGUCAAAAGGGAAGCGUUUGACACCAGUGUUGUUUUCUCGAAAAUCAAUUAAAAAUAGUUGAUUUUGUGUUGUAUUGACCUUAACAGCUUUCUUCACUCUUUUCCAUGUCUUUUUUAAUGCACUUUUCGUUUAACAAGUCAACAUCAGUUUCUUUUGUUGUAAAAGGGUCAUUGGAAGGUGGCUUUCUCUUCGGAGAAAGUGUUUAUAGCCUUUGAUCUCUGCAAUCGGAGAGACUGAGGUCUGCAGCGUAGAUCCUUCGGGGUUAGAUACAUCUGUGCUAAGCUACAGCUUUUCAUAGACAACUUGUUGACUAUGUUUAGUCUUGUGACUUACCCGCUUAUGCUAUUUUACCUACGCUUAGGAUGUUGAGCGCAUGUCUCUCUCU